GGCUCUGAGGUGUGUACACAUCGCCCGUCGCUCUCAUUAUAGAUUAUUCUAUUUUAUUACUGUAAAGUAGCUUCAAUUUAGAUGAGAUAAGUCGUAACAUAGUAGAUGUACUGGAAAGUGGAUCUAGGAAGAGUUUC
rnacentral:rRNA from 1 species